rnacentral:rRNA from 1 species
UACAGAGGUCUCAAGCGUUGUUCGGAUUCAUUGGGCGUAAAGGGCGCGUAGGCGGGCUGUCAAGUCUGGGGUGAAAUCCCGCGGCUCAACCGUGGAACUGCCUCAGAUACUGACGGCCUCGAGGGAGGUAGGGGCGAGCGGAACUGUGAGUGGAGCGGUGAAAUGCGUUGAUAUUCACAGGAACUCCGGUGGCGAAGGCGGCUCGCUGGACCUUUUCUGACGCUGAGGCGCGAAAGCUAGGGGAGCAAACGGG